rnacentral:rRNA from 1 species
UACGGAGGGUCCAAGCGUUAUCCGGAUUUAUUGGGUUUAAAGGGUACGUAGGCGGAACUUUAAGUCAGUAGUGAAAGCCCACCGCUUAACGGUGGAACUGCUAUUGAUACUGUUGUUCUUGAAUAUAGUUGAAGUAGGCGGAAUACGGCAUGUAGCGGUGAAAUGCAUAGAUAUGCCGUGGAACACCAAUCGCGAAGGCAGCUUACUAAGCUAUUAUUGACGCUAAGGUACGAAAGCGUGGGGAGCAAACAGG